AGUUCUGUGGCCUAAUGGUUAAAGCAUCUGCCUUAUAUAUGGGAGGUCUCGGGUUUGAACCCCAGCCGAGUCA